UACAGAGGGGGCAAGCGUUAUUCGGAAUUAUUGGGCGUAAAGGGCGCGUAGGCGGCUUUGCAAGUGACGGGUGAAAUCCCUCGGCUUAACCGAGGAACUGCCUGUCAGACUGGAAGGCUUGAGACCGGGAGAGGUGAGUGGAAUUCCCAGUGUAGCGGUGAAAUGCGUAGAUAUUGGGAGGAACACCAGUGGCGAAGGCGGCUCACUGGACCGGUACUGACGCUGAGGCGCGAAAGCGUGGGGAGCAAACGGG
rnacentral:rRNA from 1 species